UCCUACGGGAGGCAGCAGUGGGGAAUAUUGGACAAUGGGCGAAAGCCUGAUCCAGCCAUGCCGCGUGUGUGAAGAAGGUCUUCGGAUUGUAAAGCACUUUAAGUUGGGAGGAAGGGUUGUUACACUAAUACUCGGCUGUUUUGACGUUACCGACAGAAUAAGCACCGGCUAACUCUGUGCCAGCAGCCGCGGUAAUU
rnacentral:rRNA from 1 species